rnacentral:rRNA from 1 species
UACGUAGGGUGCAAGCGUUGUCCGGAAUUAUUGGGCGUAAAGAGCUCGUAGGCGGUUCGUCGCGUCGGCUGUGAAAACCCGAGGCUCAACCUCGGGCCUGCAGUCGAUACGGGCGGACUGGAGUUCGGCAGGGGAGACUGGAAUUCCUGGUGUAGCGGUGGAAUGCGCAGAUAUCAGGAGGAACACCGGUGGCGAAGGCGGGUCUCUGGGCAGUAACUGACGCUGAGGAGCGAAAGCGUGGGGAGCGAACAGG